CAGUCGCCGCGGUAACACGUAGGGUGCAAGCGUUGUCCGGAAUUAUUGGGCGUAAAGAGCUCGUAGGCGGUUUGUCGCGUCUGCUGUGAAAUCCCGAGGCUCAACCUCGGGCUUGCAGUGGGUACGGGCAGACUAGAGUGCGGUAGGGGAGAUUGGAAUUCCUGGUGUAGCGGUGAAAUGCGCAGAUAUCAGGAGGAACACCAAUGGCGAAGGCAGCUUGCUGGGACGGUACUGACGCUGAGACGCGAAAGCGUGGGGAGCAAACAGGAUUAGAGACCCCCGUAGUCCCUGUCUCUUAUAC
rnacentral:rRNA from 1 species